CAACAGUAAUCUUAAUACUUAACAAGCUUUAAGUAUAUGCUGACAUGACUGAAAAUGAGAGAAGGAAACAAGGAAAAUCUGACACAAAUGAACAAGGUUGCCUCCUUCUAGUGUUAAUUAUCAAGAGAAAGACAGACUGAGUUCUUGGAAUCAUGGGAGAAAACAAGCCUGAUUCUGGCUAAGCCUAUAAAUUCAACAAAUAUGCUGCAAGAAAUACAAAGAACAGAGGAAUAUGUUCAUACCAGGCAAUGCAACCAGCAAAUGUUAGACUCGAAAAUUACAGGAAAAACAACACCGGUUUUUCAACAAAGGAAAAAAAA